rnacentral:rRNA from 1 species
UUACGCUGUUAUCCCUAAGGUAAUUUAAUCUUAUAAUCAAAAUAAAUGGAUCAAACAAUUAUAAAUCAAUAUAACCAAAACUAAGAGGAGUUAAGUACAUUCCUCCCAUCACCCCAACAAAACAAAAAGCCCACUCACCAAAAAUAAACAAACAACAAACAAGUAAAUAAACCAAAUGUCAAACUCUAUAGGGUCUUCUCGUCCCACAAAAACAUCUAAGAAUUUUAACUCAAAGACCAAAUUCAAUAAAACAUUCAACACUAAGACAGCCCGUGCCUCGUCAAGCCAUUCAUUCCAGAUCACAAUUAAAGAACUAAUGAUUAUGCUACCUUUGCACGGUCAAAAUACCGCGGCCCUUCAACACCAAAUGUCAGCGGGCAGGCCAUACUUCAAAAACUAACAAGAAAAGAUGUUUUUGAUAAACAGGCG